rnacentral:rRNA from 1 species
GACUACCGGGGUAUCUAAUCCUGUUUGAUACCCACACCUUCGCAGUUUAGCGUCAAUAACCGGCUUAGAAGACUGCCUUCGCCUUCGGUAUUCCUCCUGAUCUCUGCGCAUUCCACCGCUACACCAGGAAUUCUGUCUUCCCCAACCGUAUUCAAGAAAUGCAGUAUCUGAUGCCGUACACUGGGUGAGCCAGUACCUUUAACAUCAAACUUACAUCUCCGCCUACCUGCCCUUUACGCCUAGUAAUUCCGGACAACGCUCGCAACCCCCCUGCUACCGCGGCGUUAGCCGUUGCUUAUUCAUAUGCUAAUAUCCCUGAUAUCACACUAUUAAUGUAACAUCCACUGCUCACAUAUAAAAGAACUUUACACCCCGAAAGGAGUCUUCGUUCACGCGGCGUCGCACUAUCAGUCUUUCGACCAUUGUAGACUAUUCUCGACUGCAGCCACCCGUAGG